rnacentral:lncRNA from 1 species
AUGGAUCCCUCAAUGAACAAAACAGACAAAACCCCCUCCCCUCAAGACCACUCCCUCCCAAAGAGGGAGAGAAGGAGCAAGCUGGAGGACACUGUGUUCUCCUUUGCCUCUGCCCUGGGCUGUAUGCAAAUCCAGGCACUUAUUUGCAUAUCCUUGAUUUGCAUACCUGAGCAGCUUCCUGCCUCACCCCCCGCCCCCAGGUGGAAGCAGCAGGUGGACAGUGGGGAGGACCCUCAGCCAAGGGACAAAUGUGCUGCUUCCCACAGACCAGCAGUCCAGGCACUGACCAGCUGCUCUCCGCUCACCACCAGCCCGAGCAAGGCCUUCCCCGUGGACCCCAACCUCCCAGCAUGGGACGCCCAAGAUCACACGUGUUAGCCCAAGACCCAGAACAGAGGCCCCUGCACACAGCCAGCCAGGCAGGCCAGGAACAAGGGGGAGCCGCCUGGGGCUUGGAACCACCAAGCCCCUCGUCUGUCAGUGAAUUCACCUGUAGCACCAAAUCUGGUUCCCAUAGCAGAGUAAAUGUUAGAUAGGGAAACUGAGACCCGGAGCAGGAGGUGUCUUGUCCAAAGUCACAGAAUGAGGAGCACAUGGGUGGCUCAGUGGUUGAGCAUCUGCCUUCGGCUCAGCGCAUGAUCCUGAGGUAGCAGGGUCCUGGGGUCCCAGGAUUGAGUCCCACAUCAGCACCCGCAGGGAGCCUGCUUCUCCCUCUGCCUGUGUCUCUGCCUCUCUCUCUCUCUCUCUGUGUCUCUCAUGAAUAAAUAAAUAAAAUCUUAAAAAUAAAAAAAGUCACAGAAUGAAACAGAGGCAGACAGAAAUAGAAUAGGCCCCAGGGUUGGGAGAUGGGGGGUCCUAAUACCGCCCUAUCCCCACCACAGCAAUGGCCUUCCCUCUGAAGACUUUGUAAUACAUGAGAUCCACUUCCCCAGACUCGGUGCCCAGCAUUGUGGCCCAGAGCUCGUCGGCCCUGUCCCCACCACCUCUCAUGAGCUACUCUGAAUCUCAAUUUUCUCCUUUGUCAGUGGAGCUGACGAUAGUACAAAUCUUGUGAUGUCGCUGUGAGGGUUAAAUGCGACCCUGCCAUUUGGAUAGACAUUUCUCCAAAAACUACAUAUGAAAGACGAUCGCCAUGGUUCAUUGGUUAGAGAAGCCAAAAUCAAAUUCAGGGGGCGCUGGGUGGCUCAGUCCAUUGAGCAUCUGCCUCUUGAUCUCGGCUCGGGUCUUGGUCUCAGCAUUGUGGGUUCGGGUCCCAUGUUGGGCUCUGCACUGGGUGUGGUGCUUACCUAAAAAAAAAAACAAAAACAAAAUCAAACCCACACCGAGGUGCCUGUUCACACCGACUAGGAUGGCUGUAAUCAGGAGGACAGACUAGACACCAGUGUUGGUGAGGAUGCAGAGAAAUGGGAGUCCUCGUGCAUGGCUGGUGGGAACGUAAAAUGAUUCAGCGGCUUUGGAACAUGAUUUGACAGUUCCUCAAAAUGUUAAACACAGUUGCCAUCUGAGCCAGCAGCUCUCUGCCUAGGCAUACACCCAAGAGAAACGAAAACAUAUGUCCACACAAAGACUCGUGCAGGGAUGUUCAUAGAAGCAUUCUAGCCAAAAAAGAGGGAACAGCCCAAGAGUCCACCAGGGAUGAAUGGAUAAAUCAGAUGUGGUAAAUCCAUGCAGUGAAAUAUUAUUUAGCCAUUAAAAAAAAAAGGGAAUGAAGUGCUGAUUCAUGCUACAACAUGAUGCUCUGUGAAAGAAGCCAGUCGCAAAAGACCUUCCACUGUGUGUGGGUUUCGUUGAUCUGAAAAGUCCUGAAGAGCCACAUCCAUAGAGUAUGCAGGUGACAACGGGCAGCUGGGGAAGGGGAACAGGGUGUAGUGCGGAUUGGGUUUCUUUAAGGGACGAUCUAAAAUUAGAUGAUGGUGAUGCUUGUACAACUCCAUAAACAUACUAAAAACCAUUGAAUCACACACUUUUUAAAAAAGAUUUUGUUUAUUUAUUCAUGAGAGACACACACAGAGAGAGGCAGAGGGAGAAGCAGGCUCCCCACAGGGAGCCCCAUGUGGGUCUAGAUCCCAGGACCCCAGGAUCACACCCUGAGCUGAAGGCAGACACUGAACCACUGAGCCACCCAGGUGUGCCCCAAAUCACACACUUUAAAUGAGUGAGUUUUUAAGGAUGCAAGUUAGAUCUUAAUAAAGCUGUUUUAACAAAUGAGACGCAGCGUCUGGUUGGCGCUCAGGGAGGGGUAAUGGCUGGGGUUAGUAUUCGUGUUAUCUGCAUUUGUAUCCCAUUCACCGCUCACAACAACCCUGCGGGGUGGGCAUUUGGCAGAUGCCGCACAGGGGCUGUUGGAGAAAUGGGGUGUCCGACAUAGGAAGUGAUAGAGCCCCAACACCUCCCUGGCCUUCUGGACAAAUGAGAGAGCAAGGCUGGGGGACCCUCAGGGCAGGCUUCCCAGGGGAGGUGGGCCGGGGCACCACACACUGCAUUUUCACGUGCCAGGCUCUGUUGUAGACUGGGGGUUGGGGCGCCUGCAUGGUCCCCAGGGUCCGACCUUCCCA